rnacentral:misc_RNA from 1 species
GGUAGUAAAAGUCGUAACAAGGUCUCCGUUGGUGAACCAGCGGAGGGAUCAUUACCGAGCUUACAACUCCCAAACCCCUGUGAACUUAUACCUUUACUGUUGCUUCGGCGGGUCUUCGCCCCGGAACAGGCCCGAGAGGGCCGGCCCGGAACCAGGCGCCCGCCGGGGGACCCAAACUCUUGUAUUUUUACUUUGCAUGUCUGAGUGGAAUCAUACAAAAUGAAUCAAAACUUUCAACAACGGAUCUCUUGGCUCUG